AAGAAUAACAGCCCCGUGACUGCCACACAAACGUUCUGAAAGAUAUGGCACAAUCAUCAUGGAGCGUUUUUCUCUGCUUGGCAUUGGCUGCUUUGCUGCAAACUUGGAUAAUCCCUGCAUUUGGCGAUGAAGUAGUCCAAACAGACUGCACAAUAUCCAGUGUGAAAUACCCAGAUGCUUACCUCACACUUGAAGACAAUUUUAGAAAUUAUCUUCUCAAGCUUUCGAAUGGCGAGCAAAAUACACCUGCCAUGUUGUGGAAUGUCCACCUUAUAAGCUCAAAUGAUGCAUCAUCAGGCGUAAAAUUUUAUAAUAAAAAAGUGGAGAAAUUUUUGGAGUACUGCAAUGCAGGAAAAUUUCUUGGAUACACAAGAUGGGCAAUGACAAAAAAUGUUUGGACACUGAAUGUCACAAAUACUGGGAGUUCUAGCAAAUUUCAGACUUCGCUCCAGCUAACAGAUAGUGACGAUAAACUUUAUUUGCAUACAUCAUUUAGCGAGAACCAGCUGGAAGCUCGUAGCAAGCUCAGUGAAGAUGGCUUUUGGUUGAUUAAUUGUUAAAUUGCUGCGUAUAAUAUAUAUGGAUUGCGCAUAACAUAGAUUUGAAGGUUUACGUCAUAUUUUGUACAUCAAUAAAAUUUUUCAAUUUUUUCAACUAAUAUUAAUUUUCAAUCAAAAUUUUUUGACGUGACAAUAAAAAUUGAAAAACAAAAACUUGGUUUUAUUUAGUUGCAAGGUGUCUUUAUAUUGAUUUAUCAGAAGGCAUUUACAAAUCAACAAUUUACAGUUUUUUUCUUCAGCGUUGUUAAAAAGCAAUAUAGCAUUUUUCGUACGUCAUCAGUCUUCACAAUUAUUCUAUUCAGUUAAAUAAAGCUCUGAUAAUUUCCCCUUUGUAGAUCCCCACUUCUGCUGUGUGGCAAAUGCCUGUUUUCGUUUCAAAAGGUUAUCUCUAAAGAUGCUGUAGACUUCGGCUUUUAAUAAGACCAGUGGCCUCGUGACUGCUGCACAACUUUUGGGAAGACAUGGCACCGCAAUCAUCACAGAGUAUUUUCCUCUUCUUUGCAUUGGCUGCAUUGCUGCAUAUGUGUGCAGUCUCAGCAUUUACGGCUAAUGUUAUCCAAAAAGACUGCAGAAUAUCCAGUGUUGAGUAUCCAGAUGCGUUCCUCGUCAUGUACGACAACUUCAGCAAUUUUCUACUUAAACUUUCAAAGGACAAACAAAAUACAUACGCAAAGUGGAAUAUCCAUCUAAAGAGCUCAAAUGAUGUCUCUUCAAAUGUAAAAUUUU